rnacentral:rRNA from 1 species
UAGGUAGGGUGCGAGCGUUGUCCGGAAUUACUGGGCGUAAAGAGCUCGUAGGUGGUUUGUCGCGUUGUUCGUGAAAUCUCACGGCUUAACUGUGAGCGUGCGGGCGAUACGGGCAGACUAGAGUACUGCAGGGGAGACUGGAAUUCCUGGUGUAGCGGUGGAAUGCGCAGAUAUCAGGAGGAACACCGGUGGCGAAGGCGGGUCUCUGGGCAGUAACUGACGCUGAGGAGCGACAGCGUGGGGAGCUAACAGG